rnacentral:rRNA from 1 species
GGAAUAUUGGACAAUGGGCGCAAGCCUGAUCCAGCCAUGCCGCGUGCAGGAUGACGGUCCUAUGGAUUGUAAACUGCUUUUAUACGAGAAGAAACAUCCCGACGUGUCGGGACUUGACGGUAUCGUAAGAAUAAGGAUCGGCUAACUCCGUGCCAGCAGCCGCGGUAAUACGGAGGAUCCAAGCGUUAUCCGGAAUCAUUGGGUUUAAAGGGUCCGUAGGCGGUUUAAUAAGUCAGUGGUGAAAGCCCAUCGCUCAACGGUGGAACGGCCAUUGAUACUGUUAGACUUGAAUUAUUAGGAAGUAACUAGAAUAUGUAGUGUAGCGGUGAAAUGCUUAGAGAUUACAUGGAAUACCAAUUGCGAAGGCAGGUUACUACUAAUUGAUUGACGCUGAUGGACGAAAGCGUGGGUAGCGAACAGGAUUAGAUACCCCGG